rnacentral:lncRNA from 1 species
AAAAUUUUAGGGAUUCAGACAGUGUUUUGCGAUCGACUUUGGUAGCUGAUCCGCGCCGAAAAGGAACAACUCUACUGAAAAGAAAAACGAGUUCGAAAUCAAGACGAAAUUUAGGCCGAUUGAGAAAUUUAUAAAAUAAGACAAGAUCAUAUCCCGGUAAUUGCAAUGUUAAUUCUGCAUCGAAAAGAUAUGCAAAAAUUAUGUGUUUUUAUUAUUAUGAAUUAAUUUAUUAAGUUAUAACAUAAAUAAUACUAUUGGUUUAGAAUAAUUUUAUUACUGUAAUCGUUUAUCAUAAAGACUGAAAAAAUAUGAUAGAAUUUUUUUUUUUUUUUUUUUUUUUUUUUUUUUUUU